GAUGAAGAACGCAGCGAAAUGCGAUAAGUAAUGUGAAUUGCAGAAUUCAGUGAAUCAUCGAAUCUUUGAACGCACAUUGCGCCCGCUAGUAUUCUGGCGGGCAUGCCUGUCCGAGCGUCAUUUCAACCCUCAAGCCCCCGGGCUUGGUGUUGGGGAUCGGCGAGCCUCCGCGCCCGCCGUCCCCUAAAUCUAGUGGCGGUCUCGCUGUAGCUUCCUCUGCGUAGUAGCACACCUCGCACUGGGAAACAGCGCGGCCACGCCGUUAAACCCCCAACUUCUGAACGUUUGACCUCGGAUCAGGUAGGAAUACCCGCUGAACUUAAGCAUAUCAAUAAGCGGAGGG
rnacentral:misc_RNA from 1 species